GAUGAACGCUGGCGGCGUGCUUAACACAUGCAAGUCGAACGGAAAGGCUCCUGCUUGCAGGGGUACUCGAGUGGCGAACGGGUGAGUAACACGUGGGUGAUCUGCCCUGCACUUCGGGAUAAGCCUGGGAAACUGGGUCUAAUACCGGAUAGGACCACAUCUUGGAUGGUGUGGUGGAAAGUUUUUCGGUGUGGGAUGAGCUCGCGGCCUAUCAGCUUGUUGGUGGGGUAAUGGCCUACCAAGGCGUCGACGGGUAGCCGGCCUGAGAGGGGGUACGGCCACAUUGGGACUGAGGUACGGCCCAGACUCCUACGGGAGGCAGCAGUGGGGAAUAUUGCACAAUGGGCGCAAGCCUGAUGCAGCGACGCCGCGUGGGGGAUGACGGCCUUCGGGUUGUAAACUCCUUUCGCUAGGGACGAAGCGCAAGUGACGGUACCUGGAGAAGAAGCACCGGCUAACUACGUG
rnacentral:rRNA from 1 species